UUGACUCCUUCAAUGGAGAUGGAGGCAACACCGAAGCAGGUUUUGGGGACGAGGAAGACGAUGAUGAGGAGGCUGUAGAUAGCUCACAGCAAACAAGCGGAGAAACCGGUUUUCCCGACAGCAGGAACUGUUUUCACCCUGGACCUGGUGCCAGUACCCCCUGAACCCACCCAAGGCUGCCUCCCGGACCCACCAGGCGGAGAAGGGACCUCUGGAUCACAGGAUCUUCUCCUUCCCAGAGGCUAGUGAAGAUUAGAAGGC